GAGGAAUAAAAAUGGAUCAAUACGUGCAAGAUCAGUGCAAUAAAUAAAAAAGUUCACGCAUCUGCUUUUGGCAAAAAUAGGCGUAACUCUCUUCCUAAAACUGCCAAAAUAGGCGUAACUCUCUUCCUAAAACAAUAUUGAUUGAUCUCCUUCCCAAAACAACAACGAUGGCCUCCUUCCCCUCUUCUCCUCUUUCAACCUUCUCCUCUCACCCCAAAUGAGAAAUCUUAAGAUCUCCAUAGCUGGCCACCGUCUGCCACCUACCCAUAUGAAUCUUUCAUUUUUAUCACCCCAAGCCAGCAAAUUACCAAAAAUCAGAGAAAAUCAGUCCCUAAUUUGUGCAAAAAUGAAAAUUUCUGAGGAUUCGCAGCUAAAGCUUGAUAAAAACUGAAAUUUUUGUAGAUGAAUGUCAUAAUUUUGAAUUCAAAUCUCAUCUCCAUAAAAAUAUGCUUCAAAUCCAGACUUUGGAGUUCGGAUUUAGGCUAUAAAUAGCCCCAAAAUCGCCAUCAUCAGGAAAAACUUAGAGAUUAAAGGAAAAACUCGACAAGAAGCCCAAGUUUGCUGCACAAUACAAGGUGUGAAUCUGCUUCCUUUUAAUUCAUUUUCUUUUUCCUCCCUUUGUGCAUGUCGAUUCUGUGAAUACGAAAUUCAUUGUGAUCGCUAAUUAGUGUUGUUGUUGUUGUCUUGGCGUUACGGAUGGGAGUGUGGUUAUAAUUUAGUUAUUUGAUCCUCGAGCAUGUCCUUUAAUUUAGAUUCUGGCUGAAAAAAUGAUUUUUGGUACAAGUUUCGAUCAAGUUGUAAGUUGUCGUUAAUCCCAGUGGGUCUAAAUGUGAUCGUUCAUCGGGUUUAAGUUGUUGUUUGGGUGUGAGUGGUUAAGUAUUAAUUCUGUUAGUCUGUAGAACUAGGUGUACAAUGUGAAUUUUUUAUCAAGCUUACGUUGGUUUUGACUCAGAAAUUGAUUCGUGUAUAAAUGUGUGAUUCUCUUGUUGUUACGUUUAACCUAUUUUGCUUUUGCCGAAAAACACAACUUUUGCAGUCAUAUUAUAUGUAUGUAGGAGUCUGUGUGCAUGCCUCGCUCUUCCCUUUACUCUAUUUCCUUUCAAACUUCAAAUACAUGCUUAAUAUGGUAUCACGAAUGACUUUUAAAUAUAUACCAUGCCUUUGAUUGUGUGAAUUUCCCCUUCCUGCUCUACUUUCUCUUCAUCUCAUUUUUUUAUUUUAUUUUUAUUAUUAUUUUUGAGACAUGUUGUUUUCUGUCUUUAAGUUUUGUUGUUGAUGCCUUCAUCGACCCCGUGAAUAGGAUAAAUCUAACUUCGUGAAAUUGCCUUUGGUUCAAAACCAACUUUUAUGAAUACAUGACCGAUAAAUACGCGAAUGGUUUGGGCUACCUCAGAUUCGGUUCAUAUUAGCACCUAUGUUCGCUCCCUACAAACUAAGUUUAGUAUAGAGCUUUGAAGUUGUCCAGUUGCUUGAUGUGGUUGCUUUAAAUAUUAAUAUUGUUUGUUGCUGCAUUUGGUCCUAUGAGCAAGUAUCCGGGUCUAUCUCAAGAUCACAUUUAUGUAUAUACAAGUUCUUGGGCACGAAAAUACAAGACAUAAUUUGGUUUGAUUUCCGAUUAUGGUAUUGCUGUCCAUUUUUUUGUAAAAUCAGGUCCGACAACAUGAUUUUAUUUUAAGUUACAUGGUUGUCCAUUUUACAUAGAUAUGGUUUGGGUUCGUUUAUUGGGUAUAUAGCAAAGUCCAUUUUGAUUCGUUUGUCGUAAAACAGACAUCUCCUUAUAAUAAAGAUAAGAGGUUGCAAUUUGAAGUCGUUAUCUAAAUUAGACGGUUAAGGCUCGUGUAUAUUUGGCCUAAGCUUUUUAAAACAAUUUGUUACCAUUUUAAUUUUUUUACGCACUGCACUACUUGAAUUAAAGUGAGCAGGGAAUAGUCUCAAUUAAAUUUUGUUUCAUUCCUACACAUGGUUUGAAAACCAAGAUAAUAUAAUUCAUUUUUGUGAAGGUGCUUCACUCUUUUGGUAUAACUUAACACUAUCAUCACAUAAGCACUUUUCAUAUGAUUUCAAUCUGUAAGAACUUUGUUUGGAGCAUGUCCAGUCAAAAAAAGAAGAGAAAGUCGACCUUAGCUUGCAUAUCUCGUCUAUUACUUGUCAUGGGAGUAUGUUGUAACAGGUUGUUUAAAUUCGUUAAUUGUUUCUUGUCCUCUUGAAUCAAACUAGCUUUUACAUAUGGGAAUACAUGUGUGAAACAUUUUUUCACUAGUGUUUAAUACGUGCUUAUAUUGGUAAGUGACUGUGUUCUUUGAAGCCUACUUAGACAAAUUGUAAAAAUGUACAUUUCUUUAGAUAGACCAAGUGAGUGACUUUGUUGCUAGUAUUACUCACGCGUCCAUGAUAUAGGUGAUGUUUUAGUUAGUAAAUGGAGAUCAUUGGCCUCGAUUGACGCCAUUUUACUAUUGUUAUUCACGUAAGUAGUUAUAGAUUUUGGGUACUUUAUUCUUACAAUUGCUUGAAGGGCAUGAGUUGGGUGCCUAUAUAUUUGAGCGUCUCGAUACUGGUUUGUGAUCUAUGUCAUACUAUUGGAGUAUUUACUUGUUAUCCUUAAUCCUUUUUUAUAUAUAUUUAGCUUGUUUCUAAUCUGUUUCCUUAUUCUUUUCUUUUACAUGUACACUUGGGAGCUGGAGUUCCGCAGUGGAACUCAAUUUGACCCGUAGAAUUGGGUUAACGGCUAUAGGAUCACAGAGCUUGGGGUCUAAAUCGCUAGGAGCCGUUUCCUUCUAUGAGAGUUUAUAGUAUCUAGUCCUUUACCUCUCUCAUGACUUUAUUAUUCGUGUUUGUUUCACUAAGUUUGUGUUACUUUGAUUAUGAAUUUUUAUGUGGCCUUGAUUGAAAUUGAUUACCUUAGUUAAUUUAAUUUUGUUUAAACUUUUAAUCAUCUAGAAUUGAUUUUAUUCGGCCAAUUUCAUAUUUAUUUGAUACUCGUAGAUGUAAUAAUGGUAUCUAUGGUUUAACCACUCCUUGUUACCAUUUUAACCUACGAAUCAAACUUUUUAAUAGUAAAUGGUCAACCUUGUCUUUUAAAUGCAAUUUCAAAGGGAAAUAUAUUUUUGUAAUUGAAAUAAAAUGUUUGGUUAUAGUCCUUUUGCAAAAUACUUAAUUAAUGAGUUUUAUCACUUUAAUUAAAAAAUUUCAAAUAAAUAGUUAUAAAUAGGUUUCAACUAGUUAACCCUCUUAUGUUUUCAAGUAGCUCAUCUAUCAAAUUUGAUUCUUCGUUUAACUCAGCAUAAUCUAAACGUUUAUUACUUUACACUUAUUCCUAACGUUAUUUUAAGUUUUCAGAUUUUACAAAUCUCCAAACAGAAGGUAUGCAGACAUUCGUACACUACCAUAUAUAAGGAAUAUUUUUCACUAUUACUAUUCUUAUUCUUACUAUUGUACUAUUAUUACAUAUUAUCAUUUGUGUGUUAUAUCAAUUCUGCUACCACAUUUUGCUUUACUCACUUUCAAUAUAUUGAAAUCUCAUAAAUCAAGUAAAUUUUUGCAUCUUUCAUAUACUCUCACAAAUAUACAUAUUUAUGUUUAUCUUACAAUGAAUGAACUCUCGCAUACUUUAGAGUAUACUUUUCUAUUUUUAUAACAACUUGUUUAUGUAUUUGACUUAAUAUACCUUUAAACAUAUUUUCAUAUAAAAUUAUGACACUUCUAUAUUUUCUACUACAGGUAUAAUAAAGGUACUACUCUUCUCCAUAUUUCUGAAAACAUUCAUAUAUGUAUUUUGCAAUUGUCAUAUUACGUCCUUGUGUAUUAUAGUAUUACAUCUUAUAUAACUUGAAUAUCAUUUUCGAUAAUAAUAAAAGUUUUCUCAUCAUUGUUUUAAGCAAAUAACAAAAUAAAGUUUUUCUAAUAUUUUUCUAAACUAAGCGUAAGGACUAUCUUCGGAUAGACCCAGAGGGGUGCCUAACACCUUCUCCUCGGGUAACCAAAACUCUAACUCCGAAUCUCUAAAUAUUUUUGAAAGAUCAAAACAGAGUUUUCUACAAAAAAAAAUGGUUUUUCCUAAUUUUCCUAAAAAGUUAGGUGGCGACUCUAAAAAAUAAUUUUCAAAUCCCAAGAGUUACUAAACGCUACCAUACGUCGUGUGUUAUUUCGACUGGUUCGAAAUAGGGUGCGACGGAAUGACAACUCUACUGGGGAAUAAUGAACUUAGGUUUUUUAGCUUAACAUGCUUAGUUUAGGAUUUUUAUGUUUUAUUAUGUUAUUUGCUUUACGUAUCUUUAUUAUGUUAUUUGUUAUUUGCUUUACGUAUCUUUAUAUGUUAUUUGUUUUUGUGUGAAAGGACAGUCAAAUCCAAACUUGUGUUCCUUAUUUGUUUGAACAACACUACUUGUUACUGCUUUAUCACUUGCAUUUUCCUAUCGAGUCUUUGGCCGUACACAAUUCACACACUAUGGUUCACGCGGGGGGUGUAUCUAUACUCCCCUAAACCUUCUUUGGAUUCCUUAGUUUCAGAGUUGAUGCAAUUAGAUUAGUGCACCUUCUCGCAGCUAUUCAGUCCUAUUCUCAAAUAUUUAGGAAAAUAUCUUACUUUAGAAAUAGGUCAUGUCACAUAAACCCUAGGCACGACGGUCCAAGGCAAUGUCAUCGCAAUUAGGAAACCACCCUUUUGUCAAAGGUUACAAACCUGUCGACAUAUUUUGUGUGAUGAUUGAUGUUAACGGUCUAAACUAAAAUAGAUAAUGAAUUUGAGAUAAACGACUUAUCAUAUCAUUUACCCUUUCUUUCAGAUGGAUACCAACCAAACCAUACUAAACAUCCAAAUGAUUGCCUUAGUCCCCCAAAACUUACAAACCUGGUAGCAAAAUAUUCAAGCCGUGCAAGGGUCCAAAGUCAGAGAACACUUAGGCUCUUUGGUGUUCCUCAUAGAUAUUCAGGCCAACGAAGCACUCGUAAAACUAUUGGUUGAGCUUUGGGAUCCAUCCACCACAACAUUUCAGUUUACAGACUUCGAAAUCACCCCAACUUUGGAAGACAUCAGUAGCCUCACGGAUUUUCCUCUUGAAGGAAGGUUGAUGUUAGUCCCAUUGGCCAUGGCAAUGGUUUUUUGCAUACUUUGGGUUUAUGAGAAGACCAUGCACCGAGGAGCAUCAGAUACGGUUGGUUUAACUUGGGUUACCUAUUUCAAAUAUUUGGAUAUCAAAUGAGCUAUGACCAUCACGAGAGGACUUCGCUUGUAGCUGAACUAGGUGGGAGAGUGUUCGCACCGUGUCUUUCGCACUUGCCAUACUGGGAAUUCUAGUUUUUCCUCGAAGAAGGGGACAUAUCAACAUCAACUUGAUGCCUUUGGCUCCUCCCAUGUUCAUCGGUUUUAAGAGAUUGAUGUUAGUGCCAAUACUGCUGGCAGGAUUAUUUCGAUCUUUGUCUGCUUGCUCGAGAGGGAAUGAUUUCUUUGGUGGAUGUAACCUGCUACUUUAAGUCUGGGCCGUAGAAUACUUCUAUCAACGAGCGCCAAUCGAAGAUAACUUAUAGGACGACCCCAACAUGAUAUAAAACCAUGAACAAAGGUUGAGAUUUUGGGAGGCACCACUAGGAUCAGAAGAAUGGUGGGCUUAUCUGACGUACCUCACAGGAGAUGCCAUCCAAUGAAAGCUUCCUGGGAUUACAGGGAAAGCACUAUUGAGAAGGUACACUAGUUAUUUUAUUGAGCUAAUUGGAUUGGAAGGAAUCCAACCGUACGCUCCACUUAGAGUUCAACGUCAAUUUGGCAUAAAACAAAAUAUCCCUUUAUGGUCGUCCAUGGAUCCAGCGGAAAUUACUUACGAAAAAUAAGUGCCUUGGGACAGAAUUACGAAGCUACAGGAAAUAUGGAUGAACAUAUCAGCAGAAAUUGGACAAACAACUUGGUACACCUCAGAGUAUUAUGCAUGGAAAGUAGAAGGAGGUCUAAUAACACGACCAAGCUGGGAAAGGAUUCCUGGGUUGGUGGACUACGACAUGGUGUGUCAGGUGGCGAGGGAAAUACUACCUCACAUGUAUCUUACCACCUCCAUGUACCAACAGGUAGUUCCGGGAUAGGUGGAUCACAUGAUUCCUCCAGACGAUAAUGAUGAUGUUAAGGAAGGCACAAACGAGGAAUUAGGCGACCAAUCCAUGAGGAAUGAAGAUAAUUCAGACUACCCAGAGUGGCUAAUAAAUAAUCAAGAUUUCAUGGACUAUUUUCUGUGCCCACGAGAUGACAAUGACAAUGGCCCCACUUGGCCUUAGACUUCCUUUCUUGUUACACUUUCUAUAUUCCCUAAAUAUCCAUAUGGUCAACCCCUUGUAAGCCCUUGCGGCCAUCCUUGUACUUUCUUUCUAAACUAACUUUGAUCUAUUUUAAUGUAACUAUUUGAAGCCUUUGUUUAAUGAAAGUCAUGUUUAUUCUUAAAUCCAAAUGUGUUUAAAUAAACCGUUUAUCAUCAAAUUGAUUGUAACGUAGGCCUACCUCUGGUGAAAAGAGGCUCUAUAUUAGGACGUGUUUGGAUGUUGUCAACUUGGCGUAUAUAUAUGUUACUUACUUGUUACAUUUUCAUUAUUACCCAAACUAACAUAGUUUUCUUUUGCUUUUUCUUUUCUUCCUUUCUUUUGUUUAUUAAUCCCGAUAAAAAAUAAAAAUAAAAAGUUGAUUUGUGUCGACUGAAAAACUGGUGGAAUCCCAAUACGACCUUCGAUCGAAAGACAAAAUGACUAAUAAAGAUAAGGCCGUGAUGAUCCCAGUAGAUGACACCGCGGGGUUCUAAAUGGCCGUCAGAUACUCAGAAUGAUGAUCAAAUGGCCAAUAUGGCACAGGAAAUUGAGGUCCUAAAGAAGAACUCCAUCAAAUACGGGAUCUAAUCAAGCUUACAAUAGCUAGCUUUCCCGCUCAGCCGCAGGCUCCAAGUAUUGAAUUACGUCCAGGCGUUUCCGCUAACCAAGCAAGUAUACCGCAUGCUCAAGACCUACCAGCUUUUCAACCUACUGUCGAAACUAUACCUACUUAUUCAUUUCCUACCCAGAACUUUACUAUUCCAAUCCAUCCAGAAAUACAACAUAUAUCCAAGGCAUAUGUCACUUGUGAGAUACCUGUGCCACUUAUAUAUGCUACCGAAGCUUCUGCUUUCGCAGCAUCUGCGACUCUUAAGGUUCCAUAUGAGGUUGAUGGAUAUGCAAGAUUGAGAAAAGAUGUCCAAUCAAGUGAAGAAGGGUCUAUAUCAUCCCAGCUUGAGAGUCUAAAGCGAGCAUUCAGACAUAUGCAAGUCACCAGGGAAACUGAAAGUUUGGACUACGAUGACUUAUGCAUUCAUCCAGACAUUGACAUGCCAAUGGGAUACAAACCACCAAAGUUCGAUGUGUUUGACGAAAAAGGUGACCCGCAUGCACACCUGAUGGCUUACUGCGACAAGUUGGUCGGGGUAGGAAGGAACGAGAAGUUGAGAAUGAAGUUGUUCAUUCAGAGUUUGUCGGGAGAAGCUUUGACUUGGUACAUCUGACAAGACCCUCGUAAGUGGCGUGACUGGCAGGAAAUGACUAAGGAUUUUAUGAUUCGUUUUAGAUUUAACACUUAGAUUGCUCUAGACAGGUUCUCAUUGGCUAAUAUACAGAAGAAGUCAUUCGAUUAUUUCAAUAAUAUGCAUGGCGAUGGAGGACCAAGGCUGUAAGGAUCCAGCCUCCUUUGGAUGAAAGUGAGCUCUCCAAAUAUUUUAUCCGAGCAUAAGAGAGUGUUUACUUUGACAAAAUAAUGUUGAUGAUGGGCCAAAAGUUUGCAGAAUUGGUCAAAAUGGGAGAUUUCAUAGAAGAAGCCAUCAAGUCGGGGAAGAUCCAAUCUAUGGUUGUACUGCAAGUAAGGCCAUGCAGAUUGCUUCCAUUAAUGGUAAUAAGAAAAAGAGGGAGGACGUCUCAACCGUCACACCAUACUACCGAUCGGGAAAUUCUUCCCACCAUUACCCUAACAACCCCCAAAUUAUUGCAUACGUCCCAGUGUAUAAUACUCAACCGCAUUAUAAUCCUCCUCGAGAUCCAGCAUACCAAAAUCCACCAAGACCAUACGCCCUUGUCCAAGCUCCAGCUCACCCAAAUAGACCAGCCUAUGCGCCCAGACCACGUCCAAAUUUUGAAGCCAGAAAUAUUUGCACUUACACACCAAUUGCAGAACCUUUGGCCCAGUUGUUUGAGAGAUUGAGGGUUUUCGGUUUUUUGCAUCCAAUUGAGGGGAAGGCCCCUGAUUUGACUUCUCAAAACUUUGACGAUAGCAAGCAGUGCGCCUAUUACUCAGGAGUCCAGGGGCACGAAACGGAAGACUGUUACAUCUUGAAGAAUAAAAUUGAGUCUCUGAUAAGAAGGGAUAUCAUCAAAUGCACCGUCGCAGCUCCCAAUGUGAACAAUAACCCUUUGACAAAUCAUGGAAAUCGAGAAGUCAACAUGAUUACUCUAGAGGAGGAGUACGAUUUGGAAGAAACUAUUAUGCCCACAUGAAGCGCAGAGGAGAUCACCACUGCAUCCCCAGCACAUCCAUUUAUCACAGUUCAGUUGAGGGAGCCUAUAACUGUUCUGACAUACCUGUCGAGAGUUGUAGUGAUCACAUCAGCCACUGGUAGGACCGACUAUGACACUAAGGCAGUCCCAUGGGACUAUCAAGCUAAAGCUAAGGGAAAAAUAAUAGACGUUGUUGCGGCUCAAGGGAUGACCAGGUCGGGAAGGUGUUAUGCGCCAGAGGAACCAAAUCGUGGAGUUAUCCAGAAAGAUCAAAACCCGAAGAGAAAUAUCACAGAUGUUGAAGCUGCAGAAUUUUGAAAGAAGAUGCAGCCCAAGGACUAUUCAGUCGAGGAUCAACUCAAGAUCAAGACACCGACCCACAUAUCCGUCAUGUCUUUGCUUAUGAGUUUUGAAGCCCAAAGAAAUACUUUGAUGGAAGUGUUAUCUGGGAUUAGCAUACCAAAAGGAGACAACUAGCGAAACUUUGGCCGCAACAAUCGGGCGAGUGGUAGAGGCAAAUAAGGUCUCUUUCCAUGAUGAUAAGUUACCGUCAGAAGGAGCUGCACACAACAAAGCGCUCUAUAUUACGGUCAGAUAUCAUGACAAGAUUGUGAACAGGGUCUUGAUUGAUAGUGGUUUGGGUUGCAAUAUCUUUCUGUUCUCCACUCUAAGAGAUUUGAGUGUAAAUAUAGAAGAUAUAAGGGAAAGUCAGGUUAAGGUUAGAGCCUUUGAUGGGUCGCAAAGGAGUGUCAUCGAGGAAAUUUACUUAACACUGCAGAUAGGACCAAUAGAAUUUCCUAUCCUAUUUCAGGUCAUGGAUGUGUCAUCUAGCUACAACCUGUUGUUGGGGAGGCUAUGGGUCCACAUGAAAAGAGUCGUUCCUUCCACUCUCCAUCAAUGCAUGAAGUUUGAAUGGGGUCAUACAGAAGUUACUGUCCAUGGAGAACUUAGUCAUCCUAUUUAUUAUGUCAAUUCAGUCCCAGUCACCGAGGAGUUAGAUAGAGCCACUUUUCAUACUCUGGAGAUCAUGAAAGCUACAAGGAUCAAUGAGAAGGCAAUGCCAGCGAAAGCAAAAAUAUCGAAUAGUAAAAAGAUGGUUGCAUCGGAGAUGUUGAAAUAUGGGUAUCAGCCCAAGACAGGACUAGCACCCAGAGUCGAUGGUAUAGUCGAGCCAAUCCAAUUAAAGCAGCAGAAGGGUACUACAGGGCUUAGAUAUGAGCCCAUUUUUGGAGUAGCCUGCAGUAAAGGAUUUGGAAUGACAGUAUUUGUGCCAGCCCGAGUCCCAAUUUCAAAACAAAUAGAAGAUGAAGAUAUCAUAGAAGGAAUAGGAAAUUUGUUUAUGGCCUGAUCGAAGAAGAAUCGGAGAUAGCUUUCAAGAAGCUCACCAUUCGUGAUGCCGAGCCUGGAGAAGCCUUGCAGAAAUGGACCAUCAGCCCAUCCCUGUUUCGCCAGGAGUCUUGGUAGUGUGGGACUGUUGUUGUCUUUUAAAAAAAAAUUAUUUUGUUUGCAUGAUCAAUUGAGGCUUGAAUCAGGCCUAAGCUCUUUUUUCACUUGCCUCUUGUCAAAGCCAGUGCUUUUAUUAAUAAAAGUCCUUAUUUUCAAAACUUAUUUUCCUAUUUUCAAUAUCUAUUUACUUUACUCGCUUUUUAUACUUUUCAGCACAAAUGUUAAUAAAAAUUCUUGUUCCACGAUUAUGACAUGUAACGAAUCUGUUGAGCAAAACACAAGUGAUGAGAAAGAUUACGAGGAGUAGAAUAAAAGCAUGAUGCCUGAAAACCUACCGCAGAAGAUCGAGCAACUUGAGAGUCAGAAGAAGCCUAAUAUCGAUGAAACUGAAGUCAUCAAUUUAGGUAAUAAGGAGACACUGAAGGAAACAUGAGUCAGCAUACACUUGGAAGAUGAAAGGAAACAGGAAUUGAUAAGGCUGCUCAAACAAUACAUCGAUGUGUUUGCUUGGUCUUACGACGACAUGCCUGGUUUGAGCACUGAUAUCGUCUCGCAUCGACUGCCGACCAACCCCUCAGGUUCACCGAUGAAGCAAAAGAUAAGGAAAUUCAAGCCCGAUUUGAGUUUGAGAAUCAAGGAGGAGGUGACCAAGCAGAUAGAAGCCAACGUCGUGAGGGUCAAAACUUAUCCCACCUGUCUAGCCAACAUCGUGCCCGUACCAAGAAGGAUGGAAAGAUAAGAAUAUGUGUAGUCCAAAAGAUGAUUUCUCUCUCCCAAGCAUUCACAUUCUCAUUGAUAAUUGCGUGAAACAUGAGUUGUAGUCGUUUGUUGAUUUUUUUGUGGGAUAUCAUCGAAUUUUGAUGGACAAAAAUGAUGCAGAAAAGAUAGCCUUCAUCACUUCGUGGGAAGUAUACUCUAACAGGGUAAUGCCGUUUGGGCUCAAGAAUGCCAGUGCAACGUACAUGAGGGCCAUGACUACUUUUUUCCAUGAUAUGAUUCUCAAAGAAAUUGAAAUGUACAUGGAUGAUGUCAUCAUCAAAUCUAAAAGGAGUUUAGACCAUUUGGAUGAUUUAUGAAAGUUUUUUGAAAGACUGCGAAGGUACGACCUAAAGUUGAAUCCAACUAAAUACGCAUUUGGAGUUCCCGUGGGAAAGUUAUUGGGAUUCAUUAUUAGUAGGAGAGGUAUAGAGUUAGAUCCAUCCAAGAUAAAAGCAAUCUAAGACUUACCACCUUCUAAGACCAAAAAGGACUUAAUGAGCUUCUUGGGAAGACUUAAUUACAUUAGUCGGUUCAUAGCUCAGUCCACAAUAAUUUGUGAACUAAUAUUUAAGUUGUUGAAAAAAGAUGCCGCCACUGGAUGGACUGAAGAAUGUCAGGAGGCUUUUGAGAAAAUCAAGGAAUAUUUGUCUAACCCACCAGUAUUGGUUCCACCAGAACCAGGAAAGUCGUUGUUGUUAAAUCUAUCCGUUAUGGAUAAUGCCUUUAGAUGUGUGUUAGGGCAGCAUGAUGAUACAGGGAGGAAAGAGCAAGCCAUUUACUACCUGAGUAAGAAGUUCACCCCGUAUGAAGCUAGGUAUACAUUGUUGGAGCGGACCUGUUGCGCAUUGACCUAGGUUGUGCAAAGUUAAUCCACUACCUAUCCGCGUAUACCACGUACUUAAUUUUGAGAAUGGAUCUACUCAAAUACAUCUUUCAGAAACCAAUGCCUACUGGAAAAUUAGCAAAAUGGUAGAUUUUGUUGUGUGAGUUUGACAUUGUGUACGUGACACAAAAAGCCAUCAAAGGACAAGCUUUGGCUGAUAACCUCACAGAAAAUCCAGUGGAUCAACAUUACACGCUGCUCAAUACCUAUUUUUCCUGAUGAAGAGGUGUUUUUGCGGGAGAGAACAUCUCAGAACCAUAUGAUGGAUAGAGGAUGUUCUUCGAUGGAGCAGCGAACUUCAAAGGAGUCAGAAUUAGAGCAGUCCUAGUUUCAGAAACAGGUCAACAUUACCCAAUCUCGGCAAAGAUUAGGUUUCCUUGCACAAAUAACAUGGUAGAAUAUGAGGCUUGCAUUCUCUGGCUUAGGAUGGUAGUAGACAUGGAUAUUAAAGAGCUAUUGGUGAUAGGAGAUUCAGAUUUGUUGAUCCAUCAGGUGCAAGGAGAAUGGACCACCAAGAAUGUCAAAAUCCUUCCUUAUGUGCAAUGUGUUAAGGAAUUAAGCAAAAGGUUUACGAAGAUCGAAUUCAAGCACGUCCCUCAAAUUCAAAAUGAGUUCGUCGAUGCCUUGGAGACACUAUCUUCAAUGAUUCAGCAUCCAGAUAAGAAUUACAUCGAUCCCAUCAAAGUGGAGAUACAAGACCAACAAGCCUACUAUUUCCAUGUAGAUGAAGAGCCAGAUGGAAAGCCGUGGUACUAUGACAUUAAGAGAUUACUUGGAGUAGGAGGAUAUCCAGAAGGCACUAUUGGAAAACAGAAGAGGACUUUAAGAAGGAUGGCCAAUCAAUUCUUUCUCAACUGGGAAAUCCUAUAUAGGAGGACUCCAGACCUAGGAUUACUAUGAUGUGUCGAUGCCACAGAGGCCACAAGAUGUCAGAGGAGAUACAUACAGGAACUUGUGGACCACACAUGAAUGAUAUUAUGCUCGCAAAAAAGAUUUUGAGAGCUGGAUACUUUUAGAUGACCAUGGAGAGGGAUAACAUUCGAUUCGUGCAGAAGUGUCACCAAUGUCAAGUUCAUAGAGACUUUAUACGAGUUUCGUCAAACAAACUCAAUGUGAUAGGUUCUCCUUGGCCGUUUUCUGCUUGGGGCAUGGAUGUUAUUGGGCCCAUAGAGCCUCCUACGUCCAAUGGACAGCGUUUUAUCUUGGUCUCUAUUGAUUACUUCAUAAAGUGGGUUGAAGCCUCGACAUAUAAGGUCGUAACCAAGAAGGUGGUAGCAGAUUUUGUUCGCAAUAACUUAGUCUACCGGUUUGGAAUUCCAUAAUCAAUCAUAAUAGAUAAUGGAGCCAAUCUUAAUAGUGACCUGAUGAGAGAGAUUUAUGAAAGGUUUAAGAUCUCUCAUCGAAAUUCCACGGCAUAUCGACCACAAAAGAAUGGAGCAGUUGAAGCUGCAAACAAGAAUAUCAAGAGGAUUUUGAGGAAGAUAGUGGAUGGUAAUAGAGAAUGGCAUGAGAAGUUGUCAUAUUCUUUACUUGGAUAUCACACCACAAUCAGAACUUCUACUGGGGCAACUCCCUACAUGUUGGUUUAUGGGUCAGAAGCAGUAAUACCUGCAGAAGUGGAGAUACCUUCAUUAAGAAUUAUCCAGGAGGUUGGUCUAGAUGACGCCGAAUAGAUUCAUAGUAGGAUCAAGCAGUUGAUGUUUAUUGAUAAAAAGAUAUUAGACGCAGUCUGUCAUGGUCAACUCUAUCAAAAUAGAAUGAUUAAGGAAUUCAACAAGAAGGUCAAGCCUCGACGAUUCACACCAAAACAGUUGGUAUUGAAUAAGAUAUUCCCUCACUAAGAUAAAGCCAAAAGAAAAUUUGCACCAAACCGGUAAGGUCCUUACAUAGUUCACCGAGUACUCUCAAGAGGAGCAGUGAUAUUUGCAGAACUGGAUGGCACAGUAAGCACGAAGACGAUCAAUUGAGAUGCCAUCAAGAAGUACUACAUUUGAAGACAUUAGGAAUAGUAGUUAUUUCUUUCUUUGUACUUUUUCAUUUUUCUCCAAUGUAACAGAACUACGUAUUAGCCUGACUUCCCACGAUGGGAUACGUAGGCAGCCCACAUCGAAUUCGGUCCCUUCAUAUUUUUACCUUUCCAUUGUACUGAACUACGGCCUGACCUGAUUCUACUUGGAUAUGUAGGCAGCUUGAGUCAGGACCGGUCAUAUCGAACUACGUUAUGACCUGAUUCCUAUUUUAAGGAUACGUAGGCUGCCUAAGUCAGGCUCGUUCAUUGCACUGCAUAUUUUACUUUUCUCGUUGUAUUGAACUACGCCAUGACCUGAUUCCACUUGGAUACGUAGGCAGUUUGAGUUAGACUCGGUCAUUGCAUUUUAUUUUUCCACCCUCGAACUACAUAAAGAACUGAUUCCACUUGGAUACUUAGGCAACCUGAAAGGUUCGGUCUUACCUCUAGGAAAAUCUCCUUUGCUCAUAGUAUAGCCUCAGAAUAUAAGAGAUCUCGCCGCCAUAAUUAUCGUAGCAUCGACAGUCAGCUCCACUAGAAAGAUAAAGCUACAUGGGUCACGAUCGACAAAUGGAGGCUUAACGGAUUUUUGAACGUGUCAUAAUCUAAAAGUGAUAAAGGAUUACUAUAUAUGCUUAAUAUAUACGUAAUAUUUACGAAAACAUAUAUACAUAUAUGUAUUUUUCACCAUAAUUUCAACUUUUUCACUUACUGAGACUCCAGAUUCGGGAGUGAUUGAGCAACCGAGGGAGUGUUGGAGAAUUCCGUAAACAAAGCCAGGAUUCCCAAGUCGACACAAAUCAACACCCCCUCCCAACUAAGAAUGUUUCUUUGAGCGCAGGAAAAUAGGAAUUGAAAGACUACAUUAAGUCAAGAUUUGGGAUAGGAUCAGGGGCAUCAUGCAGCUUACCACUAUGACAUGAGCCAAAUAUUCUUCCUUUACUUUAUUCUUUUUACAUACAUUUAUACUAAUCCUCACAAACUCUAAGAGUUUUAUCCGAAUUCUUUUGCAGGUACAUUUUGAAGACCCGGGUCAGAAACUAAGAAAAGAGGAUCUUCAUAGAAAGAUUAGGCUAUUUACUACUCCCAACAAACUCCGCAAAUCGAAGAGUGUCGUCUGACCUCAAUAAAGUCUAGAUAUAAGCAAACAAAGUCAAGCUUCCGUAUUCCAAAGGACUGUAUAUAAGAAAACAAAGUCGAGCUUUCGCAUUUUGAGGACUGUAUUAAGGAAACAAAGUCGAGUUCCACAUUUUGAAGACUUUACAUAAGCAAGCAAGGCGAUCCUCUGCCAUAUCGGAGGAUACGAAUAAGCAAUACGACACUCUGCCAUAUCGGGAGUUGUGCACCAGCGAUGGGGACGCCCUACCAUAAAUCAAAAAAUGUACAUAAGCAAAGCAACACUCCUCCAUAUCGGAGAAUCGCAUUUCAAACAAACAAAGCACAGCCUGCCAAUCAAAGGCCCACACCAUAGCAAGCACGCAAGAAAGCAACUAUCACAACAACAUCAAGUUCCAAUAGCAAUAACAUCAUUUAGUUCAGACUGAAGGUCGCCUUGCCAAUAAAAGGCAAUUUACCAUUGGGCAAAUGUCCCGCCAUCGGAGGCUUUACUUUUCAAACACUGCUCGCCAUUCAGAUGGUACUUACUUCUCAAUUACUCAGCCGACGGAGGCUAUUUACACUUCAGCCGACGAAGGCUAUUUACAUUUCAGUCAACAGAGGCUAUUUACAUUUUGGACGAUGGAGGCUAUUUAUAUUUCAGCCGUCAGAGGCUAUUUACAUUCAAGAAGAUGCUCAGCCGAUAGAGUCUAUUUACAGUUUAGCCGGCAGAGGCUAUUUACAUUCCAUCCGACGGAGGCUAUUUACAUUUCAGCCAACGGAGGCUAUCUACAUUUCAGUUAUUGCCCCGCCAGUCGGAGUCCUUCAAAAAUGGAGACAAUAUUAGUUUGAAUAUCUAAACUCUACUCUUUAUAUAACGAUUUCAAUUUAUAAUUUUUCGAACGACAGGUAAUUUUUAUCCUGUUACCUGUUUUGUAGGACCAUGCAGUACAAUGUAGAACUACCCUCUUAGCAGCAAACUGGGGCAAGCUAGCGGAAUGUCAAACAUCCCUGGCUACGUCAAGGAUUCCGGCAAAGAAACUCAACUCAACUCAAUUCAAGUUUUCAUUUUCAUAACUUUUAAGUGUCAUUACCCAGUGUCAUCUUAAUCAAGCACUGGGACAAUCUUUGAAGAUCUUUAAUUUCCUUUUUCUCCCAAAAUCCUCAGCAGAUAUUCCUAUCCAACGUCUCCUCAUCCUCAGCUAUUCUGAACAACCAAUUUCGGUACUUGCACCUCUAUCCUUUUCCAUUCGUGCUAAAAUCUUUAUUAUCCUUCUAGAAGGAACCCAAUGUCACCAUAAUUCUAUAUUGGGCAAAUUUUGAGGUUCAUCAAACUUUACUACAACUCGAAAUAUAAAUGGCCUGAUUUCUUGUGGAGCCCGAGAUAUGUAGGCAGCUAGAAAAUCGAAGCCCGGCCAUAAUCUUCCAAACAUUUUAUUUUGCCUGAGACAAAAUUGGUUACGUCAACAUGAGUGCCCAAAGAUUUUCAAUCUUCGGUCCCUCAGUAGCAACUGUUGACACUCAAUUUUGACUCGUCAUUUUUCCUUUAAUUACUUUUCUGAUGCUUCUUGGUCCUAAAUAAUUUUCAAAAAUUAAAUAAAAAUAAGAUUCGUAUUUUUUUUGAUAUUUCUACAAGUUUUAAUAAAAAGGGAAUUUAUUUUUAUUUAUAAAAUUACUUUAAUUAAAUAUAAUUAAAUAUUUUGACAUUAAAAUCACAAAAUAUAUAUAUCUUUUGGUGGUCACAUUCGCAUUCUUUCUAACUUUAUUUUUGGGCAGUAUUGUGACCUUAUAUGUAUAUUUUUAUCAUACAAAAUAUAUUUUUAUAAGAUGUACAUAUAUUAUUAUUAUAUUCUUAUUUUAAUGUAUUUUAUUAUAUUCUUAUAUUUAUAUAUGUAUAUAUAUACAUAUUUUGUUAAUAGGAAAGUCGCAAAAUAUUAAGUUAGACUUCUGUACAAAUUAUGUCUGUAAACUAAAAAAAUAAUUUUUAGAAUAUCAGAAAGCAUCGAUAAAUUUAAUUUCAAUAGAAAAAGAGUAUUCGGGCUAACAAUAGUUCAACUUCUUUUUUAUUUUAUUUUACUUUUCAUCCGAACCCAACUCUUAUUUUAUGAAUUUCAGCCAAGAGCUCGAAUAUCAGUCCAAAUCAGUAUAAUUUCUAUGCCCGCUUCGUCAUUCUACCUUAACGAAUAUUAUUUGACCCAAUCUGUCGAUUUAUUUUGAAUCCGAUGGAUCUCGAAUUUUCAAAUAUAUAUAUAUAUUAUAAUUUACCUUUUUAUAUAUUUUUAAAAAUUUGAACUAUUCCGAUCAAAUACCAAACGGAUAAAACAAUAAUCAAUUCUUAAUUAGCUUUUUGUGUAUUUAUUUAUAUAUAAUUUAUAUUAUUAUUUUUAAGAUUGCUAUUUUUAAGACCGUCUGAUCUUUGAUCAAACGGAUCAAAAUGGAUCAAUAUAUGCAAGGUCAGUGCAUUCAAUAAAAGAGUUCACGCCUUUGCUUUGGCAGAAAUACGCGUACUCUCUUCCUAAGAAAAUAUUGAUAGGUCUCCGUCAUCUCUUUCCCAAAACAACAACAACAAUGGCCUCCUUCCCCUCUUCUCCUCUUUUCCUUCUCCUCUCACCCCAAACGAGAAACCUUAAGAUCUCCGUAGCUAGCCAUCGUCUGCCACCUACCUACACGAAUCUUCCAUUUCUAUCACCCUAAGCCAACAAAUCAUCAAAAAUCAGUCCCUAAUUUAUGCAAAAAUGAAACUUUCUGAGGAUUUGCAGCUAAAGCUUGAUAAAAACUGAAAUUUUUGUAGAUGGAUGUCAUAAUUUUGAAUUCAAAUCUCAUCUCCAUAAAAAUGUGCUUCAAAUUCGGACUUUGGAUUCCGGAUUUUGGCUAUAAAUAGCCCCACAAUCGCCAUCAUCAGGAUCAAGUUGGAUAUUAAAGGAAAAUCAGACUACAUUCACAAAAGUUUCACUAGAAAAGUCACAAAAAAGUUAUUAAUUUCUUCGCUUAAUUUCGGUGUUUGAUCGAGUCCUGAAAUUCGAGUUUUGGCGGCCGGAAUACUCGACAAGAAGCCCGAGUUUGCUGCACAAUACAAGGUACGAAUCCGAUUCUUUUGAAUUCAUUUUCUUUUUCCUCCCUUUGUGCAUGUCGAUUCUGUGAAUACGAAAUUCAUUAUGAUUGCUAAUUGGUGUUGUGUUGCUGUCUUGGCGUUACGGAUGGGAGUGUGGUUAUAAUUUUAGUUAUUUGCUCCGUGAGCAUGUCAUUUAGUUUAGAUUUUGGCUGAAAAAAUGAUUUCUGGUACAAGUUUUAAGUUGUCGUUAAUCCUAGUGGGUCUAAAUGUGAUCGUUCAUCGGGUUUAAGUUGUUGUUUGGGCGUGGGUGGAUAAGUAUUAAUUCUGGUAGUCAGUAGAAUUAGGUGUACAAUGCGAAUUUUUUAUCAAGCUUAUAUUGGUUUUGACUCAAAAAUUGAUUCGUGUAUAAAUGUGUGAUUCUCUUGUUGUUCCGUUUAACCUAUUUUGCUUUUGCCGAAAAACACAACUUUUGCAGUCAUAUUAUGUGUAUGUAGGAGUCUGUGAGCGCGCCUCGCUCUUCCCUUUACUCUCUUUCCUUUUAAAUUUCAAAUACAUGCUUAAUAUGGUAUCACGAAUGACUUUUAAAUAUAUACCAUUCCUUUGAUUGUGUGAAUUUCCCCUUCCUGCUUUACUUUCUCUUCAUCUCAUUUUUUUAUUUUAUUUUUAUUAUUAUUUUUACGACAUGUUGUUUUCUGUCGUUAAGUUUUGUUGUUGAUGCCUUCAUCGACCUCGGGAAUAGGAUAAGUCUAACUUCGUGAAAUCGCCUUUGGUUCAAAACCAACUUUUAUGAAUACAUGACCGAUAAAUACGCUAAUGGUUUGGGCUGCCUCAGAUUAAGUUCAUAUUAGCACCUUUGUUCGUUCCCUGCAAACUAAGUUUAGCAUAGAGCUUUGAAGUUGUCCAGUUGCUUGAUGUGGUUGCUUUAAACAUUAAUAUUGUUUGUUGCUGCAUUUGGUCCUAUGAGCAAGUAUUCGGGUCUUUCAAGAUCACAUUUAUGUAUAUACAAGUUCUUGGGCACGAAAAUACAAGACAUAAUUUGGUUUGAUUUUCAGUUAUGGUACUGCUGUCCGUUUUUCUGUAAAAUCAGGUCCGACAACAAGAUUUUAUUUUAAGUUACAUGGUUGUCCAUUUUACGUAGAUAUGGUUUGGGGUCGUUUAUUGGGUAUUAUAUCAAAGUCUAUUUCGAUUCGUUUGUCGUAAAAUAGACAUCUCCUUAUAAUAAAGAUAGGAGUAUAAAUGCAAUUUCAAAGGGAAAUAUAUUUUUGUAAUUGAAAUAAAAUGUUUGGUUAUAGUCCUUUUGCAAAAUACUUAAUUAAUGAGUUUUAUCACUUUAAUUAAAAAAUUUCAAAUAAAUAGUUAUAAAUAGGUUUCAACUAGUCAACCCUCUUAUGUUUUCAAGUAGCUCAUCAAUCAAAUUUGUUUUUUCGUUUAACUCAACAUAAUCUAAACGUUUAUUACACUACACUUAUUUCUAACGUUAUUUAAAGUUUUCUGAUUUUACAAAUCUCCAUACAGAAGGUAUGUAGGCAUUCGUACACUACCAUAAGGAAUAUUUUUCACUAUUACUAUUCUUAUUCUUACUAUUGUACUAUUAUUAUAUAUUAUCAUUUGUGUGUUAUAUCAAUUCUACUACCACAUUUUACUUUACUCGCUUUCAAUAUAUUGAAAUCUCAUAAAUCAAGUAAAUUUUUGCAUCUUUCAUGUACUCUCACAUAUAUACAUAUUAAAGUUUAUCUUACAAUGAAUGAACUCUCGCAUACUUUAGAGUAUACUUUUCUAUUUUUAUAACGACUUGUUUAUGUAUUUGACUUAAUAUACCUUUAAACAUAUUUUCAUAUAAAAUUAUGACGCUUCUAUAUUUUCUACUACAGGUAUAA
rnacentral:lncRNA from 1 species